rnacentral:rRNA from 1 species
AUACGGAGGGUGCAAGCGUUAUCCGGAUUCAUUGGGUUUAAAGGGUACGUAGGCGGAUAGAUAAGUUAGUGGUGAAAUCCCGAAGCUCAACUUCGGAACUGCCAUUAAAACUGUCUAUCUUGAAUUUGGUUGAAGUGGGCGGAAUAUGACAUGCAGCGGUGAAAUGCAUAGAUAUGUCAUGGAACACCGAUAGUGAAGACAGCUCACUAAGCCAAUAUUGACGCUGAGGUACGAAAGCAUGGGUAGCGAACAGGAUUAGAAACCCGGGUAGUCC